rnacentral:lncRNA from 1 species
CAUGGCGUUGAACCAAUAAAUGGCUUUUAUAGUGUUUUUUGGGGUAAUAAUAUGUUAGAAUAAAAUAAAUUUGAUUGAUUACAAGUGCUAGAGAUGCAUGAAGAGUGUUUAGAAGAGUGUAGAAAGACUUUGCUGAAAUUUGGUCAGAAAUGGGCUAAGAACCCACAACCAUUGCUUUCAAACAUUAAAUGGCUUGUCUAGUGUUUUUUGGGGUUAGAAUAUGUUAGAAUACAAUAAGUUAGAUUGAUUACAAGUGCUAGAGCAUCAUGAAGAGUGUUUAGAAGUUUGGAGAAAGACUUGUUGAAAUUUGGUCCCAAAUGGGCUAAGAACUCGAAAACAUUGCGUUGCACCACUAAAUGGCUUGUUUAGUGUUCUUUGGGGUUAGAAUAAGUUAGACUACAUUGAAUUUAAUUGAUUACAAGUUCUAGAGAUGCAUAAAGAGUGUUUAGAAGAGUGUAGAAAGACUUGCUGAAAUUUGGGCCGAAAUGGGCUAAGA